GAGACAUUACUAUUAUCCAUAGCUUCAAGAAGAAGACAUAGAGAGGAGAUGAUAUUUUCAAAAAUCAUCACUCGAUACUGCUUUCUAACUACUUGACUAAAACCGGGGCUAUACAAUAAUCUCAUCUGCUUCAUAAUGGUCGUUUUCCCACUAUCACCGGCGCCUAAGAGCAAAACUUUAAUGUCAUUUCCACCUGAAGUAGAAUUUCCUUUUACGCGUACUCCAGAACUUUCCACAUUUUGUGGUUUUCCACGCAGGACGAUAUUAAGCCAGUUUUCAAGGACUGGAACUCGAGCGUUUUGACUUCCAGUUGUAGAGCUGUUUGAGGUUUGCGUAUCUGAAAGCUUCUUUUGAAUGACUUCUCCUCCUGAUGUAUCAGCGUAUUUACUCGACAUGCAUCCCAUGGUGAAAAGGCAGCUACAGAUUCCAAAUCCCCACAAGGAGAUAAUUCAAAGUCGAGACAAAGAAAGUUAAUCUCCGCAAUUUUCUGUAAAAACAGCAGAAAAGGUGAUAAAUAAGGAUUUUUGGAUUAAAAAAGAAAUAAUAGAUGUCGUUAAAUCUCAAAUAUUUGUGAAGUGGACCCAACUAUAAGCAAAAAACCCAAUUGCCAGAUAAUUCCAAGAGAUCCAAAAGAAUACUAUUAUAUAGUAAAAAGAAACUAUUAUUUAAACAAUUUGGUUAAAAAAACCAGGAGGAUUCUUUGAGAAAAAUCGUGUAAUGACACAAACAAACUUUGGUAUUCGUAAACAGUCAAAUUUAUUAUACUAUCACGGUUGCGAUAAGGUAUUAGAUGAAAUUAAAUCAAGAACUGUUUAAUUUUUGAAUGAGAAAUCAGUGGAUCAACUCCUUUAAUGUAAACAAAGCAACCCAAAAAACAAAAUUGCGUACAAUUUACAAAGAAACCAGGGUUUUAAUGAGCAGCAAUGGUCUCCAACUAUAAAGGGAGUUACAAAUACCUGUUCUCCUUUAAUACUUCCUAAAUGGAUACUAAGAUUGCUAAGCCGUCAAAGAAGUUGAGAUGUUGAAAAAGGUAACUACAAUGCGUGUACACUAUCAGGUGGUAAGCGAGCUAUUAGAAUUCGUAAGAAUGAAACAAUUACAGAAACAAAGGCUUUUUACUUAUUGGAAAAGUGAAAUCGUUAUACUUUCACUGGUACGUGCUUAUAGUGUCUUGUCGAUUUUAACAGAAUAUUUUUUUGUAUGUCUAGUGAUCCAACGGACCUGGCAAAUGUCAACAGUCCGAAUAAAAGAAGUUUCUACAACAAAGACCUUAUCUAAAAAGUUAAGUUGAUAGUACUUCGGUGUAUUUACAUCUGCAUUUUUCUCUAAGAGCAACAUCCUCACAAUAUGUGCCCGCUUUCAAUGCUAUAGUGCGAAUUUGGAAGAAUGGGGAGGAUGAAAAUGUACAAAUAUUUGACAGUAUGAACUUCAACAUCAUUUAUUAAUAGGAUUCAGAAUGAACAGUAGCAAGUAUCUCUUUUACUCUGCGUACCGAUUCAAAUCUUAAUACAACAAAUGCGUGUAUGUAGUAUGUGUUAAUACUACACAACAAUCCAACUAUUUUGAGCGAAGUAACGCUAAAUUUACAAAGAGAGUUACAAACUGAUACGUUCAUACAUGCUUAUUUAAGUGUUCGAUGUCGCAAAAAUGAACGUUUGCUAGUUAAAGAGUUUUGAUACAUGUUGGGGUUAAGCAAAUGUUGGCAUAUAUAGUUGUAAUCUGUCAUGGUGCCACUGCCGUUUGAGCAAGUUCAUCUUCGAUUCUUAAAGUCUUAUCGUUUAAUAUCGGUUUUCUUGCUUUUUCCAAAUUCCAAACACCUGUGUAUUUCAAAACAUCUUUCUUUUCUAUUUGUAAAGGCAAACUUGUUGCUUGUCAUUUUGUGGCACUGCAGGUUUUGAGUAAUUUUGGACAAGAACCACCUAUUCUAGAUUUUUAAAAACAAAUAUAUAGGUGGAUAGUCAUAAUAGUUCAUUUUUAAUUAAUGAAUGUAUUUGAUAAAUAAAAGUAAACGGUUUAAAGACGCUCCUGUUGUGACGGCGUUCAUUUAAAUGUUUCAUUUCGAGAUAUAUUCGGGUGCGUUUUCUUGUUAUUAUGUCUACAUGAGUCUUCUUCUGCAUGCGGUUAAGUAUUUCUAAUUAAUUAGUUUAAUACCUUUACUUCUGGUAAACUUGAAAUUUAUCGAGGCAAUACUGGAUUGACUUGCUUUGCCAGACAGAUCAACGAGCCAUUACUUGAGUGAAGCAAUAGUCAAUGAAUAAAUACUAAAAAUGCAAACAUUUGAAGUUUAUUAAUGGAUUGAAGAUUCUAAACAAUAUUAUUAUUGGAUUAAGCCGUACUCAAAAAUUGAGUUGAAAAAGUAUCAAAUUCUUGCGCCUUUUCAUUUAAAUGAUCGUUCAACUUCAGUGUAGAAGAAUUUGUAAAAGAUGAAAGUAUAUUCUUGGCUUGAGAAGGAGCAUCAGGGCCUAAAUCCGUGAUUGCAGUAGUCAUAUUUGAUAGUGCCUCCUCGUAAUUUGGUUGAGAAUCGAGGGCAGUUUUCAGCGAGCUCAAAGCCUCUUCAGGUCUCAACAAGCAUAUGUCUGCACACGCCAUACCAGUUAAAGUCAUUGGAUUGCUAUCAGUUCCGUUUAACUCUUCAAAAACAUAAAAUGCAUCAUUAUAGGAUUCGACGCCUCCACUAACUAUUUUAAUCCAAGAUUGUGCCAGCUGUAGUACAAUUUCUUCAUCAGCCCAAUCCAAAGCCUGUUUCAAUGUCUGUUCAGCAGCUUCAAUUUUGUGCUCUCGUAAAUGAAUGUAUACUUGAAGCGCCACCGCCUCCAAGUUCUCUACUGACUUCUUUAAUAAAUCCAUUGCAUCAUCAAAAGAACCAUUUUUAAUUUGAAAAAUAGCUCCUAAUGUUUGUACCACACUGUCUGAAUUGCCAUGCUGGUCAAUAAUUAACUCCAUGUUCCCCUCCCCAGCCAGCGCCAGAAUAGCAGCUGAUCCAGGCGUUUUUUGAGUUAAAAUACUUUGGAUUGAUUCUAAACUUUCACCUAAAGCUAAUUUUGCCCUUGCCAUAUAAAUUUCGGUCAAUUCAAGACCUUUUUCAGACAUGGAUGUCGUGUCAAUUUCAAAUAACUUUGUAUAGUUUCCACUAUAAAAGUAUUGACGAACAAAAUACAGUUCUAUCAAAUAUUAGUUGUUAUUUAAUUCCCAACUCAUCUCUUACCAUUAGAUAAACUAGCCUCCCAUGAAAACAUGUUAAAAGUUUUAAUUAUGUUGGGCGAUGUGUGG